rnacentral:rRNA from 1 species
GGAAGCGAACCCGGCGAACUGAAACAUCUAAGUAGCCGGAGGAAAGGACAUCAACCGAGACUCCGCUAGUAGUGGCGAGCGAACGCGGACCAGGCCAGUCAUUCGAUCUACAUAACCGGAACCGUCUGGAAAGUCGGGCCAUAGCGGGUGAUAGCCCCGUACGGAUAAACCGGAUCGGAUGCUCGAGUAGGGCGGGGCACGUGAAACCCUGUCUGAACGUGGGGGGACCACCCUCCAAGCCUAAGUACUCCUCAGUGACCGAUAGUGCACCAGUACCGUGAGGGAAAGGUGAAAAGCACCCCGACAAGGGGAGUGAAACAGUUCCUGAAACCGGAUGCCUACAAGCAGUCGGAGCCUCUUCAUGGGGUGACGGCGUACCUUUUGUAUAAUGGGUCAGCGACUUAGAGUAUGCAGCGAGCUUAAGCCGGUAGGUGGAGGCGCAGCGAAAGCGAGUCUGAAUAGGGCGACCGAGUUGCAUGCUUUAGACCCGAAACCUGAUGAUCUAGCCAUGGGCAGGUUGAAGGUGCGGUAACACGCACUGGAGGACCGAACUCACGCCUGUUGAAAAAGUCGGAGAUGACCUGUGGCUAGGGGUGAAAGGCCAAUCAAAUCAGGAAAUAGCUGGUUCUCCGCGAAAGCUAUUUAGGUAGCGCGUCGGAUAUCACCUGCGGGGGUAGAGCACUGGAUGGGCUAGGGGGGCGCGAGCCUUACCAAACCUAACCAAACUCCGAAUACCGCAGAGUGCAGUCCGGCAGACAGACGGUGGGUGCUAAGGUCCAUCGUCGAGAGGGAAACAGCCCAGACCGCCAGCUAAGGUCCCCAAAUCACGGCUAAGUGGGAAAGGAUGUGGGAAGGCCAUGACAACCAGGAGGUUGGCUUAGAAGCAGCCAUCCUUUAAAGAAAGCGUAAUAGCUCACUGGUCUAGUUAAGCCGGCCUGCGCCGAAAAUGUAUCGGGGCUCAAGCCGUGUACCGAAGCUGCGGAUG